UCAUGGGAACUGACCAAUAAAUCGUGGGAAACCCUGUAAGCAACAACAACCAGAACAACAAAAAAGCUCACGAACAACUUAAAGUGGCAACACACAGUCGAACCGUUUUGUUGCCGGUUUUAAAUCACUACAAACACGGCGAAAGACCUUCAGUCGUCGCCAUCGUCGUGCCAUGUUCGGCCACUGGAAGAAGGGCCGUACAGAUCAUCCCCCAGUCUAGGCUGUGUGUGUGUAAGUUUGUGUUUGGCUGCCCAUCUGUUCCACCGUACUGUUUACUCCCUUGGGUACACCGUGCUUCCAAAUCGGCAACGGUUUAUGCGUCACUUGUCGUCGUCGUCGUCGUACCGUCGUCGUGCUAGUGCCAAGGUCAUCCGGCCGUCGCGACAUGAGUAGAGAAGGAAGAGCAUUAACAUAAGAGCGGCUCCGUCAUGCUCUGCAAACAGAAACACACACACACACACACACACACACAUGGCACGUUGUUUCCGGUCCAGUGACUUAAAGCACAAUUUAUUCUUCUCCCACCCUGGAGGCAUGCAUGUAUGUAAAAUGAAGAAUGUAACUGCGCUGGGUUCGGUACUUACAUGCCAUCGUAUCAUGACGUGCGUCACCUUAUCGUCCGCCCGGACCGAGAGCACGAAAUCACUGAGCUUGCUUUGAGAUUCACGCACUAGAAACGAACCAUUCUUGCCACGUUCUAGGAUAAGCUUUUCCGCCUCCUUA